AAUGAGGUCUAUCCCGACUGGCUCCUCUCAGUAGAACUUAGUCGUUGGAAACGCCUCAAAGACCAAAUCUGUAGUAUCGCUUUACCCAUGUUGCUAUUAUCAUUAGCUGUGUGGGAAAUUACUACAGGACAUGC